AGCCUGUGGCUGCCAGCCAGUGAGAAGAGUAACGCUGGCAUGUACAAAAGGACAAAGAAACAUCCCAAUCUUUGUAAAAUGUCUGAGUGACAGCCCUGGUGUCUGCAGUCCUUCGGGCACUUUCUGAACGUGCUGAACAAUGACGCCUCCAAAAUAUUGACCCAACAGCAUGCCUCGGCCCUGACUCGGGGGGAAAGAGAUGAAUACUGUCUUUGAUAACUGUCACCAUUGAAAAUCAGCCUGUGUUAUUGUCAGCUGGAACAAGAGAGCUUGUAAGAGUCACUUGGUGAUGCAAGCUUUGAGUUACCAGCUUCUGGGAGCUGUCUUCAAAUCACUGCUGUGGAAAAUGGUUUUUUCCACUUCUCAGCCAAGUCUGCCCUGGUGACACUGUAUUAUUAUCCCUGCUUUUGGCCCAGGCAGCAUCAGCGUGUGCUCCAAGACAGGUACCAGCCACCACAACAUUGAUUUGUUGUCCUAAGGACUUCAGAAGGGCUGCCUUAAAGAAAAACUGAACCUUUGGCCUCUUCCACUGGCAUGAAACUCCAAGCUCACGUAUUGUAUCACAGCAUCUGUAACAUGCAGCAAGCAGCAAAGAGGUUCAGACAUGGAGCAGGGAGGGUGAGAACAAGCCACCCAACCUGAUAAUGAAAAGCAAGCACUUGGCCUUGGUGUGGAGCAUCUCAGAUAAGUAGUUUAAUUGGCAAGCUCUGGUGCUGGAGGGAGGGAAAUCUAAGCUAAAUUAAAAGAUUAAAAUGAUAUUUUUUCAUCAAGUGGCAAAAUGGAAGAAGUGGACAAGUCUGCUCAGGAGAAAAUGAGCAGAAAGGAACUGUGAAUGUUGUGAAAAUAUAUCCAUUAGACCUGCCUUAUCGAAACGUGCUUUUGCCAAGCAUCCAGCCCUGCAUCUCCAUGGCAACAUGGCCUCGUCAACAGAGAAGAAAGUGUUUUUGUCAGGAUGGGCCCAAACACGUAAAAGCCAUUUCGAUUUGGGGGCAACACGAUCUUCUUCAAUCAAUACUGCACACAUAGUAAUGACUCCUGCCACUUUUUUCAUAAAUCCCCACUUUCUGCUUUCAUUUCCUGUGGUUUGACAUCACUGUGAACUGGAGCUAGGUUUAAAUUUCCUACAGUUUUCAGCCCACCCUGCCCUCAUCUGCAACGCACGAAGCCUCCUGCAGCAGCUUCCUCCUUUGUGAGACACUCGAUGCAGUGUGCUCACAGGUGGGGUUAGCCUGGUCUGAAAUAUGAGACAGGCUUUAAAGAAUGCCCCAGUGGCACUAUCCAGGGAUGUUACAGCUGGAAUUCUGGUUAUGGCUGAGAUGAGGGGCCUGGCAGAGGAUGGGGACUCUUUCUCUCCAGAACUUACCUCUAAUAGGAUGCAAAAUUUAAUGCUCUAAGCACCUUAAUCCCAAGACAUUGUGGUUCCCCUUC